rnacentral:misc_RNA from 1 species
UACGGAGGGAGUGAGCGUUAAUAGGAAUUACUGGGCGUAAAGCGCGCGUAGGCGGCAAGUUAAGUUGGAUGUGAAAGCCCCGGGCUUAACCUGGGAACGGCAUUCAAAACUGGCUGGCUAGAGUACGGCAGAGGACAGUGGAAUUUCCGGUGUAGCGGUGAAAUGCGUAGAGAUCGGAAGGAACACCAGUGGCGAAGGCGACUGUCUGGGCUGAUACUGACGCUGAGGUGCGAAAGCGUGGGGAGCGAACAGG